rnacentral:rRNA from 1 species
UGCAGAGAACUUUCCAGAGAUGGAUUGGUGGCCUUUCGGGAACGUCUGACACAGGUGCUGCAUGGCUGUCGUCAGCUCGUGUCGUGAGAUGUUGGGUUUAAGUCCGUAACGAGCGCAACCCUUGUCCUUAGUUACCAGCACGUUAUGGUGGGCACUCUAAGGAGACUGCCGGUGACAAACCGGAGGAAGGUGGGGAUGACGUCAAAUCAUCAUGGCCCUUACGGCCUGGGCUACACACGUGCUACAAUGGUCGGUACAAAGGGUUGCCAAGCCGCGAGGUGGAGCUAAUCCCAUAAAACCGAUCGUAGUCCGGAUCGCAGUCUGCAACUUGACUGCGUGAAGUCGGAAUCGCUAGUAAUCGUGAAUCAGAAUGUCACGGUGAAUACGUUCCCGGGCCUU